AACGAACGCUGGCGGCAUGCCUAACACAUGCAAGUCGAACGAGACCUUCGGGUCUAGUGGCGCACGGGUGCGUAACGCGUGGGAAUCUGCCCUUGGGUUCGGAAUAACUUCGGGAAACUGAAGCUAAUACCGGAUGAUGACGUAAGUCCAAAGAUUUAUCGCCCAAGGAUGAGCCCGCGUAGGAUUAGCUAGUUGGUGAGGUAAAGGCUCACCAAGGCGACGAUCCUUAGCUGGUCUGAGAGGAUGAUCAGCCACACUGGGACUGAGACACGGCCCAGACUCCUACGGAGGCAGCAGUGGGAAUAUUGGACAAUGGGCGAAAGCCUGAUCCAGCAAUGCCGCGUGAGUGAUGAAGGCCUUAGGGUGUAAAGCUCUUUACCCGGGAUGAUAAUGACAGUACCGGGAGAAUAAGACUCCGGCUAACUCCGUGCCAGCAGCCGCGGUAAUGUGACUACUG
rnacentral:rRNA from 1 species